GAUGAACGCUAGCGGCAGGCUUAAUACAUGCAAGUCGAGGGGCAGCAUGACUGUAGCAAUACAGUUGAUGGCGACCGGCAAACGGGUGCGGAACACGUCCAGAACCUUACUUCGAGCGGGGAAUAGCCCAGAGAAAUUUGGAUUAAUACCCCAUAGUAUUACGGAGUGGCAUCCCUUUGUAAUUAAAGAUUUAUCACUUGAAGAUGGCUGGGCGGCUGAUUAGGUAGUUGGCGGGGUAACGGCCUACCAAGCCUGCGAUCAGUAAAUGGUGUGAGAGAGCGACCAGUCACGCGGGAACUGAGACACGGGACCGACUCCUACGGGAGGCAGCAGUAAGGAAUAUUGGUCAAUGGACGAAAGUCUUAACCAUUCAUGCCGCGUGAAGGAUGAAGGUCCUCUGGAUUGUAAACUUCUUUUAUAUGGGACGAAAAAAGGCUUUUCUAAGUCGUCUGACGGUACCAUAUGAAUAAGCACCGGCUAACUCCGUGCCAGCAGCCGCCGUAACAC
rnacentral:rRNA from 1 species